CUUAGGUUUUCAAGAAUGCCCUCAGGAGACCCAGUUUGUUUUCUAUGUAAGAAGAGUUUUUAGUACAGCUGAGCUUUUCUCAUUGAUAUAGUCACGGAAUGAGUACCAGUUUGAUCUUCCUGCACUUCUGGGAAACCUCCCCUUUGGGGGAGAGUGUUAAGUCCACGUUGAGACCUUCAUCAGUCCAAAAGUUCAACAAAAGAUGACUUUUUCUUUACUUCAACAUCCUUUAGAGGUGGACAGAGUGCCAGCUGGGGUGUUUUGGUGAGUUAAUAAAUGUGGAGCAAUGAAAGAUUU
rnacentral:lncRNA from 1 species